CCAAUAGCGUAUAUUAAAGUUGUUGCAGUUAAAAAGCUCGUAGUUGAACUUCAGGCCUGGCUGGGCGGUCCGCCUUCCGGGCGAGUACUGCCUGUGGUCGGGUCCUACCUUCUGGCGAAGCGUCAUGGCCUUAACCGGCCGUGGCGGGGAACCAGGACUUUUACUGUGAAAAAAUUAGAGUGUUCAAAGCAGGCCCGCGCUGGAAUACAUUAGCAUGGAAUAAUGGAAUAGGACAGUGGUUCUAUUUGUUGGUUUCUAGGACCGUUGUAAUGAUUAAUAGGGAUAGUUGGGGGCAUUAGUAUUCAAUUGUCAGAGGCGAAAUUCUUGGAUUUAUUGAAGACUAACUACUGCGAAAGCAUUUGCCAAGGAUGUUUUCAUUAAUCAAGAACGAAAGUUAGGGGAUCGAAGACGAUCAGAUACCGUCGUAGUCUUAACCAUAAACUAUGCCGACUAGGAAUCGGGCGAUGUUGACAAAAUGACGCGCUCGGCACCUCAUG
rnacentral:rRNA from 1 species